AGGACGAACGCUGGCGGCGUGCUUAACACAUGCAAGUCGAGCGAGGCCCUUCCUUCGGGGAGGUGCCCUAGCGGCGAACGGGUGAGUAACACGUGGGCAACCUGCCCCUAGCACUGGGAUAACUCCGGGAAACCGGGGCUAAUACCGGAUAUGACCUUCUUGGGCAUCCUCGAAGGUGUAAAGGAUUCUGGCUAGGGAUGGGCCCGCGGCCUAUCAGCUUGUUGGUGGGGUAAUGGCCUACCAAGGCGACGACGGGUAGCCGGCCUGAGAGGGUGACCGGCCACACUGGGACUGAGACACGGCCCAGACUCCUACGGGAGGCAGCAGUGGGGAAUCUUGCACAAUGGGCGAAAGCCUGAUGCAGCGACGCCGCGUGAGGGAUGACUGCCUUCGGGUUGUAAACCUCUUUCAGCAGGGACGAAGCGAAAGUGACGGUACCUGCAGAAGAAGCACCGGCAACUACGUGCCAGCAGCGC
rnacentral:rRNA from 1 species